ACAAAAUUAAAAUUCCAUUUGCAAAUACAGGUGCUAGAGUAAAGAAAUUUGCUGUGACGGGCGUAUAUUGUGACAUUCUUGCACUCUUGUUUUUAUAUUAAAAGCUUGUUUAUGUGAAUAAAAAAGAGCUGCAUAGAUAUUGACAGCUGCCUAUAAUGCUUGUAUCGAUUUAAAACCAUCUAGAGGUAGACGGGUAAGGUAUAUCACAUGGUGUCAUUGCAAUUUGUAUAUUUUUUUAAAGAAAAUGAUAAUAUAUAAAAGUUUAGAACGAUCAAUGUUGAUAUUUUAACUUGAAAUUAUUAGAAAAGAGCCGAAAUUUGAAAAAAAUGCAUUCUUUUAACAAGAGUUUUGUUAGAAAUAUAAAUGUACGGAAGCGGAUAAGGGCCGUUUUACAGUUGAAACAAAUUUAUAAUUUAUUGAAUCAAGUGCCACGCGGUUCAAAUUAACUUGAUUUCCUGCAUGUUUUCGACAAGGUAUUUGUAUAAAUAAUAUUUUUGUGAGUUUGUACUUACUGAUUUGAUUUCAACUUACUGUUUUUUUCUCAUUUAAGAUGGCAACUUGAGCCGGUUGUGUCUCGUCAGAGUGUCUGGUGCCCAUUAACUGUAUCUUAUAAUGCCUGGUUAGCGCUUGCAAAUGAAUUUAGACACGUUGAUCCUGUGUGACAGAUAUGAUACAGACGGGGAAGAUUGUGGUACUGCUUAUAAUGAAAUUGUUCGAACACGUCAAUUGAAAAGAUAGGUGGUACACAUUUUAUUAAUCUAGCUAGACACGUUGAUCAUGUGAGACAGCUUGCUGCAAAAGGAAGAUUGACUACAAUAAAAUUGUUUGAAAACGUCCAUUGAAAAUAUAGGCAGUGCACAUUAUAUUAUAUCUAGUUAUGCAUGCUGACUCUGUGUGACUGACAUGCUGAAGUCGGAAAAUCAAACGAGUGUCUUUGAGGACAUUGCUUACCAUAUGUCCCUCUGAACGAUUGAACAAUGCUAUAGAGUUAACUAGUAAUUGAUAAAGAACUAUGGAAGAGUGUCCUGUUUGCAAAGGGCAAUUGGAAGAUGGACAACCAGUUGUAUGUCUCCGUAAGAAGGGGAGCGACGGAAUCAAUAAUGCAACCAUAGCAAGAGGAACUAACAUUUUUACAUGUAAAGGACAAUAUGUACACGUGCUGUGUCGCCAUGACUAUAUACAUAUUCGAAACUCUUUGACAAACAGUGAUAUGAAUAAUAAUCCUGUUACAUCUAGGUCCUUACGUUCAGAAGAUUCAUCUGAUUUUUCAAACAAAAUGUCUUUUUUUGUACAAAAAAUGCUAAAGUAAGUGUGAACAAACGUGGGUAUGAUGUCUUUCCUGUUCGUAGUUUCGAAUUUCAGAAAACUGUACCUAAAUUAUAUAAUGAAAGAAUGGGCAGUCAACAUAUUAAGCAGACUUUCCCUUGCGAUAGACCUUCCAGCGGCUGAAGCAGUUUACCAUCAGACGUGCAAUGUCAACUUCAGGACAGGUAGGCAAAUUCCUAAAUGUUUCCAAGACACAGAAGCAGACCUACCACCAGCACCGGAAUCAUCGCUGUAACUGCAAAACGAAAUGUGAUUCAAGACGAUGCAGUUGCAGGAAACAUGGACUGCAGUGUUCAUUUGGUUGUGGUGACUGUAGAGGUACAAACUGCACUAACUCUCCUACAAUAGCAGACAUUGAUAUAGAAGACUAUGUAUAGCCUUUUGUUUUUUUGAGAAGUAAAACACAAACGAGGGAAUCAGUAUGAAAUAUUUAUUUAAAAUUUAUCAAAUAGUAUGCUGAAAAUGUUUUCAUCAUCUUCGAAAUAACAUAUAUAUGCACAAUAUUCGAUGUGUUGUGCACUUUGUAUUUAAUUAAAAUUAUUUCUGAUGGAAUGCAGCUAUGAAUAAAUAAAUAUUGUUGUGAUUGUUAAUGGUACGUUAACAUUAUUUACCCUUUAGAUGAGAAAAUAUGACAUUGUUUCAUAAGUAUUUUAAGUGGGUGGGGUACAAUAUAGACCCCUUGAUCAAAUUAAAUUGUUUAACAGUAAAGGAAUAGCAAUAUCAGCUUAAUUUGGACAAUGCUUCAGAUGUUUGUUAGAGUUGAUGUGCUAGUGUUUUGUAAUGUUAAAUCUGAGAUUAUUUUCAUACAUGUAUUCGUACUUUAUUUAAGUUUAAACAGUAGGCUUAAGUGAAUUUAAAUUUAGUCAAUACUUUCACUUUAGCAAUUCCUUUAAACGUUUAUAGAUGUAGUAUAUAUCAUCUUGACACACUGUGAUAAUGUUCAUAUCCAUUGUACUGUGACUGAUAAGUAUUACAUCUUUUGAAUGAAUGUAAAUCUGUUUUAGACAAAAUAAAACAUUAUUUUACAUGAAAAACUCACUUCUUUGUACAAAACUGUCUGCAUAAUUGUGUAAGCCAGAAACAAUGAAAUACAUUUCAUUAAACUGUUUUCCAGUCUUUCAAAGUGAUUCUUGUUUUAAAUAAGUACAGAUGUCUAAAUAAUAAAAAAGAAAUUGAUAUUCUGAGUUUUAUAUCUGUACUGUGCAUUUUAACAAAGUGGGUGGGGUAAUUUAACCCCUGUUUAAAAAGAAAAACAAUAUAUAUUAUAAUAAAUUAAGGUAAUCAAAGAAUGAAAUGUUGUUUAAAGCUAAUCUAAGUGGCCAGUUGCCCUUGAAUAUGAAAAAUAAUGACGUUAACAGAGCUAAUAAUUGUAGAUUUAGUAAAAUUCAGUAUAGCACUGCAUUUUAUGUUUAAAUUUUGGUAUGUGUGCUCCGGGACCAUUUUACAAGAUUUGGGCACUUGCCAUGACAUGCAACUUUUUGUUGGUGGAAAAGGAGAUAUUUCCCAUGUCAAAACUACUUGAAACAUUUCUUUUGCAUGUACUUCAAGGUUAGGCCCCUUUUAAGGCUAGCCUGAUUAGCCUAAUUUUUUUUCAACGAGUUUAAUAAAUUCAAUGUGGAAAGUGACAAAUGUAAUAUUCUUUUUAUCACAUGUUAGUUUUUCAUGCUGAAACUAUCAAAAAUUCUACUUUCUUUAGCUAUUAAAACGAUUCAAUUUGACCAACGUCUCCUACACUUGAAAUGAUGUUAACUUCAAAGGUUUAUUUCACUAGUGUAUUAUCAUUUUUAUGUAAUGGCUUUAGUACACUCCCGUGACAUCAAACGUAAUAAACAUUUAUAUUACAUUGUACAGAAUAGAAAUAAUUUACAAUUGAUAAACGAUAUUCUGUUUGUUCUUUUUUGUGAAGGAUGUGAACUAUUCAUCCGCUAUACUUGUCUUCUUUAAAAAUAUUUGUCUCCAUGAAAUCACUAGGUAAAAUAUGUAUACACUGUUAUGGUAUGUUACACAGGUGAGCGACCUAGGGCCAUCUCGGCCCUCUAGUCUUUAAUAUAUUUUGUGUUCAUUUUUAUGUAUGUCUAAAUUGGGAAUGCACAUUUCACAGUCUGCACUAGUUUGUUGGUUUUCAAUAAAUGAUGUCUAAAACACA
rnacentral:lncRNA from 1 species